GUGGGGAAUUUUGGACAAUGGGCGAAAGCCUGAUCCAGCAAUGCCGCGUGUGUGAAGAAGGCCUUCGGGUUGUAAAGCACUUUUGUCCGGAAAGAAAUCCUUUGGGUUAAUACCUCGGAGGGAUGACGGUACCGGAAGAAUAAGGACCGGCUAACUACGUGCCAGCAGCCGCGGUAAUACGUAGGGUCCGAGCGUUAAUCGGAAUUACUGGGCGUAAAGCGUGCGCAGGCGGUUUUGUAAGACAGGCGUGAAAUCCCCGGGCUCAACCUGGGAAUUGCGCUUGUGACUGCAAGGCUGGAGUGCGGCAGAGGGGGAUGGAAUUCCGCGUGUAGCAGUGAAAUGCGUAGAUAUGCGGAGGAACACCGAUGGCGAAGGCAAUCCCCUGGGCCUGCACUGACGCUCAUGCACGAAAGCGUGGGGAGCAAACAGGAUUAGAAACCCUUGUAGUCC
rnacentral:rRNA from 1 species